rnacentral:rRNA from 1 species
UACGAAGGGGGCUAGCGUUGCUCGGAAUCACUGGGCGUAAAGGGCGCGUAGGCGGAUCUUUAAGUCUGCUGUGAAAGUCCAGGGCUCAACCCUGGAAUGCCGGUGGAUACUGUCGAGCUUGAGUCCGGAAGAGGCGAGUGGAAUUCCUGGUGUAGCGGUGGAAUGCGCAGAUAUCAGGAGGAACACCAACGGCGAAGGCAGCUCGCUGGGACGGUACUGACGCUAAGGCGCGAAAGCGUGGGGAGCGAACAGG